rnacentral:rRNA from 3 species
UAAUUGAAGAGUUUGAUCAUGGCUCAGAUUGAACGCUGGCGGCAGGCCUAACACAUGCAAGUCGAGCGGCAGCACAAGGGAGUUUACU